rnacentral:rRNA from 1 species
GACGAACGCUGGCGGCGUGGAUUAGGCAUGCAAGUCGAACGGUAUCAUCCUUUCGGGGGUGAGAGAGUGGCGAACUGGUGAGUAACACGUAGGUUAUCUACCCUCAAGACGGGGACAACCCAGGGAAACUUGGGCUAAUACCGUAUGUGAGCAACUUUUAGUUGUUUGAAAGGUGGCGUAAGCUGUCGCUUGGGGAUGAGCCUGCGUCCUAUUAGUUAGUUGGUGAGGUAACGGCUCACCUAGGCAAUGAUAGGUAGGCGGCCUUAACGGGUGGUCGCCCACACUGGGAUUGAGAUACGGCCCAGACUCCUACGGGAGGCAGCAGUCGAGAAUAGUCUACAAUGGUCGGAAGACUGAUAGUGCGACGCCGCGUGAACGAUGAAUCCCUUCGGGGUGUAAAGUUCUUUUAUAUGUGAGCAGUGCUUCUUAUAUUAACAGUAUGGGGAGAGAGAUAUUAGCAUAUGAAUAAGCAACGGCUAACUCCGUGCCAGCAGCCGCGGUAAACUCGU